AAUAAACCUCUUCAAAAUUGGUGCAGUGGCUGUCCCCGCCCUGAAAACCGAGUUUGGUUUCGAGCCACUCUGGAAUAUAUGGAGGCGCCGGAGGACCAGUGGAAGGUGUCAUCCAGAUGACAGCCUCACAAUUCGCAGCCUUUGUGCUCUCCAUCAGAAACCCAUCAGGGGCAAGCCACUUAUGUUUGCCUUGAGACAAGACAACAUUGAAGCAGGAUUCCAGCACAGCCAUCUCCUGCACUUAUGGUCAAGAUGCUCAGACAAUGGAGUCCCUGUUCCUUGUGGUUAACCGUGAACAGUAUUCUCGCUUUUAUGAAAGCUAAAGGUGAUUUCCUGCAUAAAUUAGAAUUUUGCAGCUCAAAUGUAUACACUUUAUUCUAAUUUGAAUCAACUAAUAUAUGCUGUUUAAUACUUUUAUACUGUUUGAUACAAUCAUUUCUUGUUGGAAAAUAUUAAACAUGAUGUUUAACAUUUAUUUAUGCAUUACUGGCUGAUGCAUGAUGGCCUGUGUUUAAAAAAUGUGAACUCACACAUUUGAAGCUUCAUUCAUAACCAGAGUAUGGCUGAUUUAAUAAACAUUAUUUGCUCAUUUAUGUACAAGCCCUAAUCUUCCAUUAUCGCACCAAGUACAAAUAAUUUAGAAAUCGGCAAUGUAUCAUCCGCAUGUGGCCAGUAGAGUACCUUAAUGAACAGUGGUUUGUUUUUAUAAGGCCGCCAUUGAUACGGCGCUUCGCACCUAAACAGUAAUAAAUCUGGCAUAUUUAGGCUGUCUUGCAGUAGACAAAAAAAAACAUUUUCAAGCAACAUAUUUUAUAACAGACCAUGGAUUGUCUUCGCAUUACAAAAUUUAAGGAAACCAGAAUUGUAAUUGGAAAAUCUGCUACACAGCAUUUUUAGCUCAGAGAACUCUAUUUACAUUUAAAAAAAUGAUUUAGGUGGGAAAAAAUUUUCUUGCUCAAGGAAUCUUGUUGAGGAGCGAAAAUUCAUCUUGAUGCUCCUGGAUCAAACCUUAUUUAAAGCAAGUUCAUGUGUGAAACAUACGGUGUUUCAGUAUAUAAAAAAUGUGCGCCAGUCAAGCUUUAUAUCGACUUUCCAAAUCAGCUUUUCACAAUGAUUUGCCAUGACAUUGGUGUACAAAAUAACAGGGUGUGUUUGUGUGCUUGCUCUGCAUUUCAUGUA